rnacentral:rRNA from 2 species
UGGGGAAUAUUGCACAAUGGGCGCAAGCCUGAUGCAGCAACGCCGCGUGAGGGAAGACGGUUUUCGGAUUGUAAACCUCUGUCUUUGGUGACGAAGAAGUGACGGUAGCCAAGGAGGAAGCCACGGCUAACUACGUGCCAGCAGCCGCGGUAAUACGUAGGUGGCAAGCGUUAUCCGGAAUUACUGGGUGUAAAGGGAGCGCAGGCGGGAUAACAAGUCAGCGGUGAAAUUUAUGGGCUCAACCCAUAAACUGCCGUUGAAACUGUUAUUCUUGAGUGGAGUAGAGGCAGGCGGAAUUCCGAGUGUAGCGGUGAAAUGCGUAGAUAUUCGGAGGAACACCAGUGGCGAAGGCGGCCUGCUGGGCUCUAACUGACGCUGAGGCUCGAAAGUGUGGGGAGCAAACAGG